CCGACUCAACGCAGAGUCUCGCACCGCUCCACAGAGAUUAACAGAGUUGGAAGGGACCUUAUAGGUCAUCUAGUCCAACCCCCCGCUCAAGCAGAAGAUCCUACACCAUUUCUGACAAGUGGCAGUCCAGUCUUUUCUUGAAAGUCUCAAGUGAUGAAGCUCCCACGACUUCCGAAGGCAAUUUCUGUUCCAUUGGUGCAAAAACAAAUUCCUUCGAUUUUGAAGUACCUAAUUUUCUUUGAUAAAUAUUUUAGCAUGAUUCUGAAUAUUAUCUAAAAAGUCUGUUAGUUUGAAUGAGUCAGUUUGAAACCACUGGAUGUAAUUGUGGCUCCAAAUGGGACUACCUCAUCCAUGUACAUAUUUAUUUGAAAAUGGAUAGCCAUCUAUCAAAUAAAGCUACAUUUUCUCUUGCUGAA